rnacentral:rRNA from 1 species
CCAAUGGCGUAUAUUAAAGUUGUUGCAGUUAAAAAGCUCGUAGUUGAACUUCAGGCCUGGCUGGGCGGUCCGCCUUCCGGGCGAGUACUGCCUGUGGUCGGGUCCUACCUUCUGGCGAAGCGUCAUGGCCUUAACCGGCCGUGGCGGGGAACCAGGACUUUUACUGUGAAAAAAUUAGAGUGUUCAAAGCAGGCACGCGCUUGAAUACAUUAGCAUGGAAUAAUGGAAUAGGACAGUGGUUCUAUUUGUUGGUUUCUAGGACCGUUGUAAUGAUUAAUAGGGAUAGUUGGGGGAAUUAGUAUUCAGUUGUCAGAGGUGAAAUUCUUGGAUUUAUUGAAGACUAACUACUGCGAAAGCAUUUGCCAAGGAUGUUUUCAUUAAUCAAGAACGAAAGUUAGGGGAUCGAAGACGAUCAGAUACCGUCGUAGUCUUAACCAUAAACUCUGCCGACUAGGAAUCGGGCGAUGUUGACAAAAUGACGCGCUCGGCACCUCAUG